UUGUCAGUGUUCUCCCCAGGAUUUUUGGAUAGCGCUGUGGUAAGCGCGUGAUUUUCGACAAUUCUCAGUAACUUUGUCGCGGCGCGCGGUUGGUUUGUAAUUGAUUUGUUAUGUGUUUUUCUUAUAUAAUGCUAUUGAUGUUUUCUCUUGUAAUGAUGUCCUCAUCAUGCUCAUGGAAGUUACCCCUUUGUUUGCUAAUGUUAUUGUCUGGAUAUAGACAUGAUAGAAGAAAAGUCUUUUUGUCUCCAUUGUAAAUACAUAUAAUCCUCAUAUCAUCUGUCUAUAAAACCCAAGGAGAAGUCUUUUCCAUGGUGGGUCUAUACCAGACUGCCU
rnacentral:lncRNA from 1 species